UACGGAGGGAGCUAGCGUUGUUCGGAAUUACUGGGCGUAAAGCGCACGUAGGCGGCAUACCAAGUCAGGGGUGAAAUCCCGGGGCUCAACCCUGGAACUGCCCUUGAAACUGGUAAGCUAGAAUCCUGGAGAGGCGAGUGGAAUUCCGAGUGUAGAGGUGAAAUUCGUAGAUAUUCGGAAGAACACCAGUGGCGAAGGCGACUCGCUGGACAGGUAUUGACGCUGAGGUGCGAAAGCGUGGGGAGCAAACAGGAUUAGAUACCCCGGUAGUCCCUGAG
rnacentral:rRNA from 1 species